rnacentral:tRNA from 1 species
UGCGGGAUAGAGCAGAGGUAGCUCGUCAGGCUCAUAACCUGAAGGUCGGAGGUUCGAUUCCUUCUCCCGCAA